AUAGCAUGGCAAAUACAUAUCUCAGACAUCAUAUAUACCUAUACUGAACUCACUUCUUCAGUUGAAUGAAUCAAGACUGGUUUACAAAGCUCAAUUGAUGGAAGGCACAUGGACAAGAUGACAUUUUGCUCGAGUGCUGCUGUUUCUUAAAACAAAAACUAUAUCCAUUUUGUUUUAAGUGCACCAUGUUGUAUAUUGUGCUAGCUUUUAGCAUUGAGAACUUACAGAAUAUAUUAUAUGCAAUAGAAUACUUUUUUUCCAGGGCAUGCCGAACCAUCUCAAACUAGGCAGUUUGGGCUAUACUGAACAAUACCGGUCAAGAAACAGGACGAUUCGGGUAGGAUGGUUCAGUCCCUUAAAUCUCACGAGCCCUUCCCGAUGCCCCCUUGACCCUCCAUUCUCUCUCUACCCCUUCCGCCAUGAUUGGAGCUUCGAAGCUCUGAUGCGUGCAUUGGUCAUUCGGUCGCUCAUCUCGCUCGCUUAGUCACUCAUCUAGCUCACUUCAUUGCUUGUUUUGUUUGCUCGGUUGCUUGUUUCACUCACUCGAUUGCUCAUCUUGCUGCAUUUUGACAUUGGUUGAUGUUGAUCGAUCUCGCUACCUUUCUCGUUCUCCCUUUCUCCUUCUCUCCCCUCUCCCUCCCUUUCCUUCUCCCUCUCCCCCUCCCUCUCUUGCUUUAGUUUACCCCAGCAUGGUACAGUAUGUACAAAACUGUACCAAACCAAUCGCUGGCCGGUGUAAGGCCUGGUGCUGGUCCAGCAGAUCUUGCUUUUUUCUCUUUAUAGUAUACACUAAACAUAAUUUUGUGCUCAAUAUCUCCUACCUUAGAACCAUAGCCAACAUUUAAAUAUGCUCUUAUAGUUUUUAAUUUUUCAAUUUUUUUCCAAUCUAGAAAUCGAGUACCCACUUUUUUCCUUGGAGGGGGUCAGGACUCAUGACUAGAUGGAAACCAAGAGAUACAAUGGUGUCAUAAUCUCUAAAAUAUGCUGAUCUCAACUUGAUGUAGUUCUCCAUGCUAGCCCUAUCAGUUUAGGAGUUAAAAGCUCAAUGUUCACUAAUUUUUCAACAUGUCUUUCAAACUACAAUUUAAAAUAUAUUAUUGCAUGAUAGUUGACCUUAGCAAACUGAGACCUUUCAUAUCAUGCAACUUGUGCCAACUCUCUACCAAAUUGCUGAGCUAUAUCAAAUUUCUAUCUAAAAUGCUGAUGUAGUUUUAUUUGUUGCAUGUAUAUGUAUUCUUUAAAGUCUAAAUUUUUAAUCAUGUCUCCAUAGUCCAAUAUGAGUGUCAAUCUGUACAGAAAUACUGGCAACAAAACAUAUUUUCAAUGUCUCAUAUUGUGCAACAACAAAAGUUUGUAUAGCUAGCUAAUUAUAGUUUUAAACCCAAGAUGCAGGAUACAUCACAAAAAAAUUGUGCAUUAGCAAAGCAAUUUCCUUUUUUUUUUAUUUAGUAUGGAGUCAACAACCCCUUUAAUAUUUCCAAUCCGGAUUUUUGAGGAACAGCUAUAAGCUAGCAUCUAUAUUAGAAUUGUGCAGGUCACUACUAAACAAAGAUCAUUAAGCAAGCUGGUUACAAAAUCACCAUAAUAAACAACCUCUAUAACUCAAUAUUAAGCAUAUCUUCCAUGAUCAAGACCUUAGAGUUAAGUGGAAUAUUGAUCAAAAUCCUCAGGGUUACCCUCAAAUAGAGGGUAUUCCAAGUGACCAGAUACUCCAUUUCAUUUCCACUAAGAAAAUGACCCCAUCAAGGGGUUGCGCGGGCACGAGGACGAGGCAUACUUGAGAAUCCAAUUCACAGGUAAAAGUGUUUGUUCAUGAACUAUCUACACAGUUGUUGUCUAUACAACUAAUCUAGUUUAUUUCUAAGCAUUUCAGGUACCUAAAUUACAAUGUCAGACCACUCCUGAACUAUACUCCCCAUCUCAACCUGGCUGGCCACUUCAAACUGGAUGCAACAUAAAAUCAUUCCCCCAAUAAAAUUCCUAUUUGAGGACACCUUUAUUACAUGUACUGCAGGCCUAUUUAAGUGUAUAUGUUGUGAUGUUCCAAACAGCUUUAAUGUUCCAAUAUCUUAUUCACAUGCAUUUUUUAUACUUGCUUUUCAAAAUUCAUUUUAGCAAGAGAAAGUUUUAUUAACUUUACUCUCCAACGUUGAAGCUCUAUGCAUGACACUUACUCAUAUUUCUUUUAUCAGAUUUGAUGGAUUGACUUAAUCACCUAGGAGUGUUAGUAGGCCUUAAUUGGAAUAAGGCCUGGGAGGUCAGGCCUCAUUCAGGUAGGGUCUAUGCUGCAAAGAAUCAAGCUCUAAAGUAGAUCCAGCCAAACCUUAUAAGCCUCAUAGUAAUUUAGACCUGGUAUGGACCACCAAGGCUAGGCCAAACUUUAUAACUUGGAAUUAUAUAUACUUUUUCUUAUGAGAUUCAUGUCUUUCUUAUUGAGAUCUUACUUUCUUUCCUUAUCAUUUAGACUUUUCUGGUCCAGAGGAAGGGGUUGCUCUGUAGUUUCCCCAAACUUCAUAAACAGUCUCUUUAUGCAUUUCUAGCAUUUUAGAUAUCACAGGUUUUUGAUGCUAGGCAGAAAUUCAAUCAAAAUAUAUUAUGAAACUAUGGUUGAUGUGCUGCUGCAUUAUACGAACUCCAUAUAGAUGAGAUAUUGCUUCCUGGUGUGAUGUUAGGUUUGAUAUGUGUUUGUGUGUACCAUAACUAUGUGCUCUCUCUCUCUCUCAUGCGCGCGCGCACAAAAACACAGACGAUCGACUAAAGUGUACAUAUUAUCUUGGCUAAAAGAUUUAAUCAUUUAAAAAUCAAUCAUGGGCCACCCAAGUUGGAGAUCAUUGUAUCCAGUUCACAUUCAUAUGUCAUUCUAUAUCAGCACAACUAACUUUCGUAGAUAUUUACAUUGCGAGGUGAUUUGAGGAUUAAAUUAUUAUCCAAAAAUUGAAUGCAACAUAAUUCUUUAACAAUUUCAUUGGUUUUUAACAAUUUUUAUAAUUCUUUAUACUUUUAGUUUUCAGCCUGGGAUGAUCAAAACCAUAAAUCCAAAUAUUACAAACAACACAAUAUGUUAUAAAAUUGUAUAACCUAUGGUUUCUUGUUCUUUUUUCCCUAUAUAUACCAAUUUUUUUCAUUUUUUUUCCAAAUUUCUGGCUGAUACUUCAAAGCUCGAGCUAUAAUAGUUGAAUAGAAACUUGGUGGGCCCCGACCAAACCUAAACAAACUAUGUAAGCCUUCAUUUAAUUGCUGUCAUUUUUGUCAUUGCAGGCACAUGAAUUUACCUUUAUCGAGUAAAGAAAAUUUGUGAAACAUGCUUCUUCUGAUGGGCUUCCUCUUAGGAAGGGGCACCUGCGAUUGAAUCUGUAAGGAGAAAGAAUUCCAGAAGCAUCUCUUGCAGCCCAAGCUAAGCAAUCUCUGCUGCCAGUAUCAGUGUCCAUUGCUAAGAUAUCUGCAACUACGAAAACAUCAUGUGACACAGAAAUACCAAUAUAUGCACCAUAAGUACUUUUAUUAUCAGAUUUUCUUUGAGAAAUAUUAGCAUGAUCAGAUGUACAAGUUAAAAUUUGGGUAACAGGCACACAAAGUCAUGAGCUUUUCCUUCCACUGAGACAAAAUCAUGCUUUAUCUUAAUCAUUACUUAACAACUCAAAGCAGAAAAGGUCUCAACAAUUGCCUAGCACAUAAUUGAUUUCAUUCCUUAUAAUUGUGCUAUAAAGUUCCCUGUCUUAUAUAAGUUGAAGCUUUUGUCAGGAAAAAAAGCUAAAUCUCUCUCUCUCUCUCUCUCACCCACAUACACUCACCCCGCACAAAAAAAAUUGCUUGAGGAUAUAGUUGGAGUCUUUAACUUCUCUGCAGUAUUAUGCUCCCAAAUAAAGCAUGCAAGGUUAGAUGGAUAUAGUAACAGCAAUUUCUUUAAAGAAAAUGGAAGCUAAAACCCCACCUGAUAUCACUAAGAUAAAAUCAAAGUCAAAUAUUUCCAUAGAGUAGUCUUUCACAUUGAAAUAACAGCUGCUCUACGAUUCUUGCUACUGUUGCAACAAAGUCUCUACUGGCGCACAAUUGAUAUUUAGUCAAUCGGGGGUUUAAACAUACAACCUAUAUUUGUGCCUCCUAAGAUCAAAAUAUCUCCUAAGAUUAAAAAAAAAAUGAUGCAUUCCCCAUCUGAGAAGAAUAAGACAAGAACUUUAAUGAUCAUGAAAGAAAUAGUCCAGUGUCGAUAAUAAUAUAUAA